GGGUUCGAUUCCGGAGAGGGAGCCUGAGAAACGGCUACCACAUCCAAGGAUGGCAGCAGGCGCGCAAAUUACCCAAUCCAGACACUGGGAGGUGGUGACGAGAAAUACCAGGUCGUUCCCAAAAGGAUUCGACACUGGAAUGAGUGCAAUUUAAAAAUUUCAAUGAGUAACAACUGGAGGGCAAGUCUGGUGCCAGCAGCCGCGGUAAUUCCAGCUCCAGUAGUGUAUCCAAACGUUGCUGCGGUUAAAACGCUCGUAGUUGGACAAGAGAGUAGCUUGGUGCGGGCGGGGAGUGUUUUUACUUUAUGUGUAAUUCUUUUGGUGUGCAGAUCUGUCGUAAGAUGGGUUUGUGCAUUGAUUGGAUCUUGAGCAUAUUUGUAUCGCUUGUCGACCAUGCUGCCAGGCUACUUGUAAUGUUUCGUGAGAAUGUUACAUGAUCUUUAUUGUAUUGUGUAAUGUGUCUUACGUAGUGUGCCUUGAAUAAAUCAGAGUGCUCAAAGCAAGCUAUAGCUUGAAUGUUAAUAGCAUGGAACGAAUGUUUAGUGGAAGUGAGCUUGUUGAAUUCACUUGUGGGUUCGAUGGUUCACAGCACCAACCACGAAGCGGAGCAUUGGUUGCCGACUUCGGGUGAGGAUUAAGAGGGGCAUUUGGGGGCAUUAGUAUUUGGCCGCGAGAGGUGAAAUUCUUGGACCGGCUAAGGACUAACAAGUGCGAAAGCAUUUGCCAAGUAUGUUCCCUUUAAUCAAGAACGAAAGUGAGAGGUUCGAAGACGAUCAGAUACCGUCCUAGUUCUCACCGUAAACGAUGCCAACCCGGGAUCAGUUCGGAUGCACACCAAUUGAUCCAGGUUGGUCCCCCUGGGAAACCUUGAGUUUUUAGGUUCCGGGGGGAGUAUGGUUGCAAGGCUGAAACUUAAAGGAAUUGACGGAAGGGCACCACCAGGGGUGGAGCCUGCGGCUUAAUUUGACUCAACACGGGAAAACUCACCUGGUCCGGACAUCGAUAGGAUUGACAGGCUAAAGAUCUUUCAUGAUACGGUGGGUGGUGGUGCAUGGCCGUUCUUAGUUCGUGGAGCGAUCUGUCAGGUUUAUUCCGGUAACGAACGAGACCAUGUUCUUCAUUUGGGGAGCUGGAGGACAAGUAGUAAUGGUCGUAGUUUGCAGUUUGUGUUGUAUUUCGGUGCAAUGCAAGCUGUUGGCUAUGAUUGGUUCUUCUUGAUACUCUGGUGUACGUGCAGCAAUGUGCGU
rnacentral:rRNA from 1 species